rnacentral:rRNA from 1 species
GACGAACGCUGGCGGCGCGCCUAACACAUGCAAGUCGAACGAGCGAGCGAGAGCUUGCUUUCUUGAGCGAGUGGCGAACGGGUGAGUAACGCGUGAGGAACCUGCCUCAAAGAGGGGGACAACAGUUGGAAACGACUGCUAAUACCGCAUAAGCCCACGGUGCCGCAUGGCACAGAGGGAAAAGGAGCAAUCCGCUUUGAGAUGGCCUCGCGUCCGAUUAGCUAGUUGGUGAGGUAACGGCCCACCAAGGCGACGAUCGGUAGCCGGACUGAGAGGUUGAGCGGCCACAUUGGGACUGAGACACGGCCCAGACUCCUACGGGAGGCAGCAGUGGGGAAUAUUGCACAAUGGGGGAAACCCUGAUGCAGCGACGCCGCGUGGAGGAAGAAGGUCUUCGGAUUGUAAACUCCUGUUGUUGGGGAAGAUAAUGACGGUACCCAACAAGGAAGUGACGGCUAACUACGUG